rnacentral:rRNA from 1 species
AGGACUAACGCUGGCGGCGUGCCUAACGACAUGCAAGUCGAACGAGGUAGCAAUACCUAGUGGCAGACGGGUGAGUAACGCGUGGUCAACCUACCUCUUAGUGGGGGAUAACUAGCCGAAAGGUUAGCUAAUACCGCAUACGAUCGUCGCGAGGCAUCUCGUGACGAUGAAAGGAGCAAUUCGCUAAGAGAGGGGACUGCGUCCCAUUAGUUAGUUGGUGGGGUAAUGGCCCACCAAGACUCCGAUGGGUAGCUGGCUUGAGAGAGCGACCAGCCACACUGGAACUGAGACACGGUCCAGACUCCUACGGGAGGCAGCAGUGAGGAAUUUUCCGCAAUGGGCGCAAGCCUGACGGAGCGACGCCGCGUGUGGGAAGAAGGCCUUCGGGUCGUAACCACUGUCGAAGGGGACGAUAUUGACGGUACCCUUGGAGGAAGCCCCGGCUAACUACGUGCCAGCAGCCGC